UGUGUAGGCGGUUUCAUAAGUCGCGCUUUAAAGCCUGUGGCUUAACCACAGAUCUGGGCGUGAUACUAUGAGACUAGAAGAUUGUUCGGGAUACUGGAACAGUUGGUGUAGCGGUGAAAUGCGUUGAUAUCAACUGGAACACCGAAGGCGAAGGCAAGUAUCUGGAAUUUUCUUGACGCUGAGACACGACAGCUAGGGUAGCGAAACAGAUUAGAGACCUGUGUAGUCCUAGCCGUAAACAAUGAAUGCUAGAUAGUCCCGCUCAGCGGGACUGUCGUUCAGCUAACGCGUUAAGCAUUCCGCCUGGGGAGUACGACCGCAAGGUUAAA
rnacentral:rRNA from 1 species